GUACUGAAGGAGCAGUGAGAGAUGGAUGGGAGAAGGGGGCUUAGGGUCACCAGCCGUGAAAAUGACACCAUCAAUAUUUUCACUGACAUGGAUACAUAUAAGCAACUACUGUGAAUACUGCACCAAAGAGAAGCAGUGAAAUGGCUCUCUUCUGUGCACAGCUGGCCAAGCACUGGGAACAGCAGCCGGCUCUCAUUCACACAGUGGGUAGGGAUUGCACUUGGUGAGCAGCUGUUUCUCCAAAUGAGACUAAAAUGAAGUUGGGUUGGGGUCACAGUCCUGCUUGACCCACUGAAGGAGCUGAAGGGUAGAGUGGUGCAGCCUUUUGAAGGUUCAUGGCAAGUCUCAUCUGCUACCUCUUGCCCCUUGCUUUGCUCUGCUUGGGGAUGGAGAAGUUCCUCAGUCCUCACCAAGCCAAAUAAUCAUCACCUCUAACCACUGCCAUCUGCCUAGAAGCAAAACAACACUGGAGUGAACUGCUUUAAUUCUGUACCUGCAAUUAAUUGUCAGUAAAAUCUAAAGAGCACUGACGCCUAUAUAAUAAUGGCUACUUGGACUUUGUAGCUAGUUGAUGUCAGUCCAGCUCCCUCCUUGUCUUAAGUCUAUCUACUCCUGUGCCUACUGGGAAAUAAAACUAAAUGCCACUGCAGUCCAAAGCAUAUUUUCAAGGACAUGAGUGUCUGUAUAUGGUUCAUUGUUUUAGUCUGAGGUUGUAAAAUUGCUCUCACAACUGUAAAACAAUUCAUUAGAUGAAUGGGGACCUCAGAAUAUGAUAAGUCCAGUAUUUAAUGAUGAGGACUGUGUUGUGUUUCUUUUGAGUGGUCAAAUCUUAGAAAUUACCCCGUCAGUAUAAGAGAUUUUGCAGAAAUUGCUUUGAAAUCCUUGGGCUCAGGUAUUUUUCCAACCAUCCUGCUGCUGCCAAGGAGUUUACCUGUACUUUCUUGUUCCUGGAAGGCACUUCUCCAGAAGUCUGGGUUACUGGUAAAUGUAAGUGGGUAUUGCUUGGGAUAUUUUGAAGGAAAUGGACUUUUGUGGUGGGCAUGACUUGUGUUCCAGAAGGAUUCCUUCUGAUGUAAGGGUUGCCACUCCUAAUCAGAUGACAUGAGUUUGUAUUUACCAGCUCAAAAUCAACUCUUAGCACCAGCCACUGAAAGAUAAAAAUGAAGUUGUGGGAGUUACUUACAUGCUCAGCUCCUGCAUUCCCAGCCCUCUGUCAAGUUUAUUAAGACAGAGCUUAGGAGAAAUGCAAGAAAACCAUGUUUAAUCUGCUUACCCAAGACUAAUUCCAAAGGGUUUCUCUAUCUAUCUCUGUAUUUAGUUGACAUACUGUAGAUGCUUACCUAAUCCAUGCAAACUAUCCUGAUGUUCUGCUAAGCCCUCUGUGGAUCUUCAGUCUCUGUGUGUCAGGAAUGUCUUUUUGAGCCUGGAUGGGCAAUGCUCAACUCUGGGAAUUUGUUCAAGUAGUAAACUUUAUCACCCAUAUACUGACAUACCUUGUUGAUUGUACUCUUACAGUCGUGCAACUGGUAACUGCUGCCUGCACAACAUUACCUAAUUUUGUUUUGGUACUAGAUAAUGAGGGCAAGGAUAUAAUCUGAGGAUGCUGUCAUGUAAUGAAACAAGGUAGCCUGUGGCAGAAAGUAAGGGACUCCAGGAUUCAGAAGACAAAAGAAAUAGUUGGAAGAGAAAUAAGACUUUUUGGGAUACUAUAAUCUAAAUGCACUUCUGAAGAGAUGUCUGAAUCUUUUACUGUUUUCACUUCUGCUCCACAGAAAUAAAAGAGUAGAUUGGCUUU
ensembl:lncRNA